rnacentral:rRNA from 1 species
CCUACGGGGAGCAGCAGUGGGGAAUAUUGGACAAUGGGCGAAAGCCUGAUCCAGCCAUGCCGCGUGUGUGAAGAAGGCCUUCGGGUUGUAAAGCACUUUCAGUGGGGAAGAAAGCCUUGGGGCUAAUACCCUCGAGGAAGGACAUCACCCACAGAAGAAGCACCGGCUAACUCCGUGCCAGCAGCCGCGGUAAUACGGAGGGUGCGAGCGUUAAUCGGAAUUACUGGGCGUAAAGCGCGCGUAGGCGGUCUGAUAAGCCGGUUGUGAAAGCCCCGGGCUCAACCUGGGAACGGCAUCCGGAACUGUCAGGCUAGAGUGCAGGAGAGGAAGGUAGAAUUCCCGGUGUAGCGGUGAAAUGCGUAGAGAUCGGGAGGAAUACCAGUGGCGAAGGCGGCCUUCUGGACUGACACUGACGCUGAGGUGCGAAAGCGUGGGUAGCAAACAGGAUUAGCUACCCCGGUAGUC